GGCUGGUCCAAAGGCAGUGAGUUAUCUCAAUUAAUUGUUCACAGUCAGUUACAGAUCAAACUCCUUGUUCUACUCUUUCCCCCUUCUCACUACUGCACUUGACUAGUCUUAA
rnacentral:Y_RNA from 1 species